AGUUUUUCUUCGAACAUCUUGCACUAAAGCUUCCGAUAUACCAACCAACACACAAGAAUCGGAUAAUACAGCAGCCGGAACGAUAAAAAAUUGAAUAUUACGCCUUAUAAACACGGGUGGAAGUGGCACAGGCAAAUGAAACUUUAUGAAAACCAACGAAUCUGGUGGCCGGAACGAUAAAAAGCAAGAACGCGAUAAAAACUGCACACAAGCAAAAUCGACGCGAAAAAUUGAAAUGUCAAGAGUUGUCAAAAGCCUACAGCGCGCUGUCAAAUAGAG